ACUCCUACNGGAGGCAGCAGUGGGGAAUCUUAGACAAUGGGGGCAACCCUGAUCUAGCCAUGCCGCGUGAGUGAUGAAGGCCUUAGGGUUGUAAAGCUCUUUCAGCUGGGAAGAUAAUGACGGUACCAGCAGAAGAAGCCCCGGCUAACUCCGUGCCAGCAGCCGCGGUAAU
rnacentral:rRNA from 1 species